GCUGAUUAGCAUAAGCUGCCUGCAGAUGGCUAAGCUGAAAGAGGACACUGUAACACACGCCCACUGGGGUUUCGAGAGCUGUAACAUUCAGCCCUAAAUGCUGCCAUGGGGUCGGAGCCCAUGGUCCUCAAGACCCGCCCGCCUACAUGCUGCCCUUAGGGGCUGGAGCUGUGGGGCACUGAAACAGCCAGUCACAGCCCCAUCACAUGCCCGGCAAGGGGCUAGGACUUCCAGUACCAUGCUGAACAAUGACGGGAAAAGUAGGUAUCCUUGUUGUGUCCCAGAAGUUAGAGCUAUGCCUCCAAGAAAAAUGUACCAGCUUCUCUCAGAAUUUCAAAGGGAAGUUGAUGGUCAAUAAAGCAGGACAUGAUCGUGUAGGUUCUGAACACUAAUUUGGAGAUCUUAACUAACCACAGAUAUCUAGCUUAUGAAGUAGAUGGAGAAGGUGAGAUGGAAAUUUUAAAGGACUUUCAGAGUGCAUAGAAUUCCCAUGGUCUAAGAUGAGGAAUGCUUUUCUUCUACCUUAGGAGGGGAAAAUUGAUGUUAAAAAAUCACACUCAGAAUUUCACAUGUUUACCCUGGAGCUUCGGAUAGAGGUAACAUCUUAAGGAAUUGAUUUCUCAUUUGAGUCUGAGAAAGAAUAGUCCUGGAAUUGACUUAGAUGGUGCCCAUUAUAAUUUCUUGGAGGGAUGAAGCUGCCAUCAGCAGAAAGAAGCUAGAGGUGAACUGCCAAUGCAUAGAUGGCAAGAAAACUGCUUGAGCUACCAAUUGGAGGAGAUACAUUUACUUCAUAGUGAGAGGAAGAGAAGGAGGUUGAUAACGAAACCAUCAGCCAAAAUAGAGUAAACUUUCAACAUCUGCCAAACCCGAAGAAGUCAAUGCUUGAACACCCCAACAAAACCAUGAGGAAAAGAAAUUGAUUACCAAACCAGACUCAUAAGUUAAAAAACAAAACUGAUAAUGAAAGACCAUGAGAUACAUAAGGAAAAAAGGUCACUUCUGUUUUCUGCCAUGAUGGGGUAACACUGACCCUUCCCAAGUAAACUACUAAAAGCAAACUAAACAAAAUAUGUGAAGCAAUAAUUUGCACAUAUUGGACAGGAGGAAAUGCAGAAGUGUAACUUGUAUGAGAAGAAAACAAAUGUGGUAAUACCCAUCGUGGUUUCAGCUCACUUCCUGGAGCAUUUCCAGGAUGCAGUGCAGGCAAAGGAAACCCAAACAGAGCCUAAGAAAAAAAGUGUUAAGAAUUUGGGGUGGCCAAAAUGGUCUCAGUUUGCUGAGCAGAGUACCAGAAAUGACAAAUCUAUAGAUCUAGCUGGAAUAAAGAAAGAGAGAGAGAGAGCACCCAGGAUAGUUCCCCCAUUAGUCUCAAGCUAAGUACUGAGCUUAAGUAUUUAAGGAAACUUGCCAAAAUCCAGGAGAAAAUAAACCCUAAAAGGCUGUUUUAAUGGGUAAAGAUAAUCAUUUUAACAACUAUAUGUAAAAAAUAUGUAAAAAAUAAAAUAAAUAGGCUGGGCACAGUGGCUCAUGCCUGUAAUCCUAGCAUUUUGGGAGGCCAAGGAAUUCAGAUUGCCUGAGCUCAGGAGUUUGAGACCAGCCUGGGCAACAUGGUGAAACCCUGUCUUUACUAAAAUACAAAAAAUUGGCUGAGCAUGGUGGUGUGCACCUGUAGUCUCAGCUACUCUAGAGGCUGAGGCAGGAGAAUCGUUUGAGCCCAGGAGGCAGCUAUAAAAAACUAUAAAAAAAAACUCACACCUGUAAUCCUAGUUAGGAGGCCAAGGUGGGAGGACACUUGAGAUCGGGAGUUCGAGACCAGCCUGACCAACAUGGAGAAACCUCAUUUCUACUAAAAAAUACAAAAUUACCCGGGUAUAGUGGCACGUUUGUAAUCACAGCUACUCCGGAUGCUGAAGCAGGAGAAUCGCUUGAACUUGGGAGGCAGAGGUUGCAGUGAGCCAAGAUUGUACCAUUGUACUCCAGCCUGGGCAAGAAGAGUGAAACUCCGUCUAAAAAAAAAAAAAAAAAAAAAAAAAAAACUAAAACAAACUAUAAAAAAAAUCAACACAUUAAACUUAAUCAAAAUUUUUAAGAACAAUUUUCAAAGAUACUAUUACAGAAAUGAUAAAACAAGUCACAGACUGAGAAACAAUAUUUGCUAAACAUAUAUCCAACAAAGGACUUUCAUUUAAAAAAUAUAAAAAAAACCUCUUCAACUCAAUUAUUAGUAAAAAUAAAAUAAAAUUUUUCAAAAAAUCUAACAAAUGCUUCAACAAAAGAGGAAUAGGAGUGGCCAACAAGCCUAUAAAAAAUGCACAACUUUGUCAGUAUGCAGUAAAUGCAAAUCAAAACCACAAUCAGAUACUACUAUAAACAUCCUACACACACCUUGCAAGUGUUAGCAAGGACCUGGAACAACUGGAAUUCUUAUACACUGCUGAUGGGAAUCUAAAUCAAUACAACCACUUUGUAAAAACAGGUUAGAAGUUUAUAUAAAAGUUAAACAUACACAUAUGCUAUGACCCAGCAUUCUACUCUUAAGUAAGUAUUCACCUGAGAGAAAUGACAGUAUAUGUCCACACACCAACUUGCAUACAUAUAUUCAUAGAAGCUUUAUUUAUAAUAGCCAAAAACUAAACAAAACAAAAUUCUAUCAGUAGUACAAAUUGUAAUAUAUCUAUGGAAUGAAAUACUAGUAAUCAGCAAUGAAAACAAUAAAAUGUGGACAACAUGGAUAAAUCUCAAAAUAACUGUUGUGUUAAAAAAGUAAUUUAAAAUGCAUGAUACUAUUUCUGUAAAACUUUAGUAAGUACAAGCUAAUCUAUAGUGACAGAAAGGAGACCAAUGGUUGUCUGCAGAGGAGAAGGAGAGUAAGGGAUUGCAAAUGAACAAGAUGAUGUGUGGAUGCUAUCUUAAUUGUGGUGAUGGUUUCACAAGUGUAUAUGUAUGUCAAAAUGCAUUUUGUUUUUGAGACAGGUCUUGUUCUGUCAGUCACCCAGGAUGGAAUGCAGUGGCACAAUCUCAGCUCACUGCAACCUCAACCUCAGCCUUCCUAGCUCAAGCGAUACCCCUACCUCAUCCUGCCAAGUAGUUGGAACUACAGUCAUACUCCACUGUGCCAGUAUAAUUUUUGUAGUUUCUGUAGAGAUGGGGUUUUGCUAUGUUUCCCAGGUUCCUUUCAAACUCCUGGGCUCAAGCAAUCCGCCUUCCUCGGCCUCGGGAUUACAAGCAUGAGUUACCGCACCCAGCCAAAACUCUUAAAUUGUGCACUCUAUGUAUGUAGAGCUUAUUGUAUGUCAAUUAUACCUCAUUGAAACAAUAAAAAGAAUUUGCUCUUUAAAAUUAUUCUAUUAUUUCCAUAUAAAUUUUGUAAAAGUAAAGGAUAGACAAAUGGUCAAUUCCACUACUCAUUUAGCAAAACAAUGUAACUCUAUUCCACAACCAUGUAUCAUUAUAAAAAUAUGAGCUCAUUUCAGUUGCGAAUAUAAUUGCAAAUAUUCCAAAACAAAAUACUAGCAUUUAGUUAUUAAAAAAUAAUAAAUGCCUUUUUAUCAAGUAGAAUUUAUUUCAGGAAUACCAGAAUGGUUUAGUAAAGCAAUAGUGUAAUAGAAGACAUUAGAAAAAAUGAAAUUUCUCUUAAUAUUCUUAAAAUAUUUUGUUAAAGAAAAUAAAUUCCAAUCAUAAACUAACAUUCAUUAAAACCAUUCACUUUUAAGUCCAGAACAAGAUAAAAAUACAUUGUUAGUUCACAUGAUUGAUUCUGUAAUUUAUUAGCACUACAAUAUUUAAGGAAAAAAGUAACACUCUUUAUGGUGAAUUAUUUACUUAAAAGGAAAUUAAUCCAAUUAAAAAUCAUUUGGAUUUUUUUGAAGUAAUAAAACAGUUGUUUUAUAAUAUAGUUUUAUACAAAUUAAAUGUGCCAAUAUUAAUAUUCAUGGUCUUUUACAUCUUGUCAUGAGAAAAACUAAUAUCAGACUAGCCCUCCCACCAUUGUCAUGAGAAAAACUAAUAUCAGACUAGCCCUCCCACCAUAAACAAACAACUAGAAAACUGAAUAAAAUAUAGGAAACAUUUAUUUUCAGAUACUGGAUAGCAGUAUAACUGUGGUUCCUAAGAAAGAAAACAAACAAAACAAAAUUAGCCUUUAUGAUAUUGGAGGCUUUGUAUCUGGAAGCCCUUUUUUGGUUUAUUGAGGUCUUUGUUUUGUUUGUUUCAUUGAAACUGAGUCUCACUUUGUCGCCCAGGCUGGAGAGCAGUGGCAUGAUCUCUGCUCACUGUAACCUCCGCCUCCCAGGUUUAAGCGUUUCUCUCGUACCUCAGCCACCCCAGUGGUGUACCACUGCUCUCAGCUAAUUUUUGUAUUUUUAGUAGAGACUGAGUUUCGACCUGUUGGCCAGGCUGGUCUCAAACUCCUGACCUCCAGCGAUCCACCUGCCUAGGCCUCCCAAAGUGCUGGAAUUACAGGCGUGAGCCAGCCACCACGCCCUGCUGGAAGCCCUUUUCAGAUACCGAUACAUUGAAGACAGAGAAAGCGACAGACAGUUGAGUUUGUGGGGAGUUGCUGAGGAUUCAGAGAGGGGAAAACUGAAGAGAGGAGGUUCAGAGAUCUGCAAGUGGUCCCUUUGUUGAUAAACAGGGAUUUCACUCACAAAAGGCACAUUUUAUUCAAGGUAAAUUGUAACACAAAUUUAAAACAACUUUCUUAUAUACCAAUGAAAAUCUGUUAGGAUAUUUAAUAGACAAUCAAUCAUAACAGAAAAAAAAUCAAAAUUCUAGGAGUCAAUUGUACCUGAGUAACAUAGAAUCUUUUUGAAGAAAUAUACUGUAUGUUUUUGUGGAAUAUGAAAGAUGAUGUGAAUAAAUGAAGUAAAUGGAAACACAUGCCAUGUUUGGUUUUUUUAUCCCAAUGUGUGAGGUCAAUAGAAGUGAUGUUAAAAUACAAUAUUUUGUUUCAUUUUAAUAAAAACUGAUUUCUAAAGUGAAAGAUGUCUUUUUUUCUUUCCAGGUUGUUUUUCAUAUUUAACCAAUGCCUUCCAAAGACAUAAUAGUUUUCGUCAAUAUACCUAACAGUUGUUCUUUGUAGAGUAUCUGUUUUUUUUUAACAAGAUAGAUACAAAUAUAUUAACCAACAAUUAUCCUAGAAUUUAAAAUACAAACUGAAAAGGCUAAGGCUUAGAAAUCACAAAAAUUUUGACAACUCAUGGAAAUUAUGAGUGUAUAUUUCAGUAAUUCUGGAGCUAAUAUAUGAUUUUAUACAUGAGUUUAAAAGAUGAUAAAGGAUCUUGAAACACAAAAUGAGAGACAUAGAAAAUUCCUCAUAAUAUACAAUUACUACUACUCCUACCUCCUUUCCUUAUUUGACAUCAAUUUCUUACCUAGAAACCAGUGAAGUCUGUUGGGUGAGCCUCUCACAUAUGUCCACAUCUUAAAAUUCAUCAAUCCAAUAAUAGCAGUCAACCUUGUAAAAUAGCUCUAGCUUCAUCACUCAAAUGUGUUUCUAAUUUGAAACUUCAAGCAGAGAAGAGAAAUAAUUUAUUGAUCUCUGGUCACAUAAGGC
rnacentral:lncRNA from 10 species